rnacentral:rRNA from 1 species
AAAAUUAGCGGAUGACCUGUGGCUGGGGGUGAAAGGCCAAUCAAACCGGGAGAUAGCUGGUUCUCCCCGAAAGCUAUUUAGGUAGCGCCUCGUGAAUUCAUCUCCGGGGGUAGAGCACUGUUUCGGCUAGGGGGCCAUCCCGGCUUACCAACCCGAUGCAAACUGCGAAUACCGGAGAAUGUUAUCACGGGAGACACACGGCGGGUGCUAACGUCCGUCGUGAAGAGGGAAACAACCCAGACCGCCAGCUAAGGUCCCAAAGUCAUGGUUAAGUGGGAAACGAUGUGGGAAGGCCCAGACAGCCAGGAUGUUGGCUUAGAAGCAGCCAUCAUUUAAAGAAAGCGUAAUAGCUCACUGGUCGAGUCGGCCUGCGCGGAAGAUGUAACGGGGCUAAACCAUGCACCGAAGCUGCGGCAGCGAACGUAUCACCCAAGACAACUUUACGGAGUUGACGAUUGACGGAGCGAAGCGACGUCAAAGCGUUCAUUAAAGUCGAGUUGGCUUAGGGAUACGUUCGUUGGGUAGGGGAGCGUUCUGUAAGCCUGUGAAGGUGUGUCGUGAGGCAUGCUGGAGGUAUCAGAAGUGCGAAUGCUGACAUAAGUAACGAUAAAGCGGGUGAAAAGCCCGCUCGCCGGAAGACCAAGGGUUCCUGUCCAACGUUAAUCGGGGCAGGGUGAGUCGACCCCUAAGGCGAGGCCGAAAGGCGUAGUCGAUGGGAAACGGGUUAAUAUUCCCGUACUUGGUGUUACUGCGAAGGGGGGACGGAGAAGGCUAUGUUGGCCGGGCGACGGUUGUCCCGGUUUAAGCGUGUAGGUGUGUGUUCCAGGUAAAUCCGGUUCACUUUAACACUGAGGCGUGACGACGAGGCACUACGGUGCUGAAGCAACAAAUGCCCUGCUUCCAGGAAAA